AGAGCCACAAGUGUCGUAUUCCUGUGCCUCCGUCGCCUCCCUCACGUGGCCGCCGCGCCGCCGCGCCGCCGCUGCGUUCCGCAUGACUGCGCAGCCCGCUCGUCUCCCCCUCACGCCUCGGAGCUGUUUGGUGGCGGUGUAGCAAUACGUUAGCGGCGUCGACGUUGGAGGAGACAGGUGGGCCUGCCCGUCGAUGGCCGCAUAGGUAGACGGGCGGCAGCGUAAUGCCCAUCACGCCGGUGGGGGCUUUGCUAUUCUUCGCUUCAAGCCCUUGUCGGAGCCCUCGGCGAGGCGAGCGGCCCCAGGGAUGGUGGCGACGCAGCAGGCACAGCUGUGGCGCCGUCAUCGAGCUCGCGCAUCGGGGCACAAGUACGAGACCGUCGUCGUCAGAUGGUUGCAGCGGCGGCGGCCUCCAUCGAGAAGUCAUCAUUCGUCACCCAGCCAACUUUGUCUACAUUUAAAACCAUGUGUCAUUGAUCAUCAAGCACUUGCCUGCCUCUGGACAAUCUCAAACAACACAGCUGGUAACGGGGACUAGACUCACGUUGUGAUCAAGGCAAACAUAAUCGGACAACUGGUGCAUCUUCUGCAAGGUGCUUAAUAAAUUGCUAUAAAGGGCAAGCCAUUAUCACUGUGUUAUUUCUUCAGAGAAAGACGAAGCAAAUUACUCCACAGGAAACCUGCACAAUGUAUUCACUGUAGUUCUCAACAGUAAGGGAUAUCCCGUGGAGACAUUCUGUAUUGCUAAAGAAAUCCACGAACUGUUUUGUACGCUAAGUUUCAUUCUUGUUUCAGUAUUAGUAUGGAACAAUUAUGUGUUGUGAAGCAUCAGGUAAAGAAGUCACAAUCUCGUGUUGAUCA